rnacentral:rRNA from 1 species
CCUACGGGAGGCAGCAGUGGGGAAUUUUGGACAAUGGGCGCAAGCCUGAUCCAGCAAUGCCGCGUGAGUGAAGAAGGCCUUCGGGUUGUAAAGCUCUUUUGUCAGGGAAGAAACGGCUGAGGCGAAUACCUUUGGCUAAUGACGGUACCUGAAGAAUAAGCACCGGCUAACUACGUGCCAGCAGCCGCGGCAAUACGUAGGGUGCAAGCGUUAAUCGGAAUUACUGGGCGUAAAGCGUGCGCAGGCGGUUUUGUAAGUCUGACGUGAAAUCCCCGGGCUCAACCUGGGAAUUGCGUUGGAGACUGCAAGGCUGGAGUCUGGCAGAGGGGGGUAGAAUUCCACGUGUAGCAGUGAAAUGCGUAGAGAUGUGGAGGAACACCGAUGGCGAAGGCAGCCCCCUGGGUCAAGACUGACGCUCAUGCACGAAAGCGUGGGGAGCAAACAGGAUUAGAUACCCUGGUAGUCCACGCCCUAAACGAUGUCUACUAGUUGUCGGGUCUUAAUUGACUUGGUAACGCAGCUAACGCGUGAAGUAGACCGCCUGGGGAGUACGGUCGCAAGAUUAAAACUCGAAAGGAUUGACGGNUGAGAGNGCGAGACGACGACGAGGGAGGAGG